rnacentral:rRNA from 1 species
GACGAACGCUGGCGGCGUGCUUGACACAUGCAAGUCGAACGGAAAGGCCCUUCGGGGUACUCGAGUGGCGAACGGGUGAGUAACACGUGGGUGAUCUGCCCUGCACUUUGGGAUAAGCCUGGGAAACUGGGUCUAAUACCGAAUAGGACCACGCGCUUCAUGGUGUGUGGUGGAAAGCUUUUGCGGUGUGGGAUGGGCCCGCGGCCUAUCAGCUUGUUGGUGGGGUAAUGGCCUACCAAGGCGACGACGGGUAGCCGGCCUGAGAGGGUGACCGGCCACACUGGGACUGAGAUACGGCCCAGACUCCUACGGGAGGCAGCAGUGGGGAAUAUUGCACAAUGGGCGCAAGCCUGAUGCAGCGACGCCGCGUGAGGGAUGACGGCCUUCGGGUUGUAAACCUCUUUCAAUAGGGACGAAGCGCAAGUGACGGUACCUAUAGAAGAAGCACCGGCCAACUACGUG